rnacentral:rRNA from 1 species
AUGAACGCUAGCUACAGGCUUAACACAUGCAAGUCGAGGGGCAGCAUGGUCUUAGCUUGCUAAGGCCGAUGGCGACCGGCGCACGGGUGAGUAACACGUAUCCAACCUGCCGUCUACUCUUGGACAGCCUUCUGAAAGGAAGAUUAAUACAAGAUGGCAUCAUGAGUCCGCAUGUUCACAUGAUUAAAGGUAUUCCGGUAGACGAUGGGGAUGCGUUCCAUUAGAUAGUAGGCGGGGUAACGGCCCACCUAGUCUUCGAUGGAUAGGGGUUCUGAGAGGAAGGUCCCCCACAUUGGAACUGAGACACGGUCCAAACUCCUACGGGAGGCAGCAGUGAGGAAUAUUGGUCAAUGGGCGAGAGCCUGAACCAGCCAAGUAGCGUGAAGGAUGACUGCCCUAUGGGUUGUAAACUUCUUUUAUAAAGGAAUAAAGUCGGGUAUGGAUACCCGUUUGCAUGUACUUUAUGAAUAAGGAUCGGCUAACUCCGUGCCAGCAGCCGCGGUAAUACGGAGGAUCCGAGCGUUAUCCGGAUUUAUUGGGUUUAAAGGGAGCGUAGAUGGAUAUUUAAGUCAGUUGUGAAAGUUUGCGGCUCAACCGUAAAAUUGCAGUUGAUACUGGAUAUCUUGAGUGCAGUUGAGGCAGGCGGAAUUCGUGGUGUAGCGGUGAAAUGCUUAGAUAUCACGAAGAACUCCGAUUGCGAAGGCAGCCUGCUAAGCUGCAACUGACAUUGAGGCUCGAAAGUGUGGGUAUCAAACAGGAUUAGAUACCCUGGUAGUCCACACGGUAAACGAUGAAUACUCGCUGUUUGCGAUAUACUGCAAGCGGCCAAGCGAAAGCGUUAAGUAUUCCACCUGGGGAGUACGCCGGCAACGGUGAAACUCAAAGGAAUUGACGGGGGCCCGCACAAGCGGAGGAACAUGUGGUUUAAUUCGAUGAUACGCGAGGAACCUUACCCGGGCUUAAAUUGCAGAUGAAUUACGGUGAAAGCCGUAAGCCGCAAGGCAUCUGUGAAGGUGCUGCAUGGUUGUCGUCAGCUCGUGCCGUGAGGUGUCGGCUUAAGUGCCAUAACGAGCGCAACCCUUGUUGUCAGUUACUAACAGGUUCCGCUGAGGACUCUGACAAGACUGCCAUCGUAAGAUGUGAGGAAGGUGGGGAUGACGUCAAAUCAGCACAGCCCUUACGUCCGGGGCUACACACGUGUUACAAUGGGGGGUACAGAGGGCCGCUACCACGCGAGUGGAUGCCAAUCCCCAAAACCUCUCUCAGUUCGGACUGGAGUCUGCAACCCGACUCCACGAAGCUGGAUUCGCUAGUAAUCGCGCAUCAGCCACGGCGCGGUGAAUACGUUCCCGGGCCUUGUACACACCGCCCGUCAAGCCAUGGGAGCCGGGGGUACCUGAAGUGCGUAACCGCGAGGAGCGCCCUAGGGUAAAACUGGUGACUGGGGCU